rnacentral:rRNA from 1 species
GUGAGGAAUAUUGCACAAUGGAGGAAACUCUGAUGCAGCAACGCCGCGUGGAGGAUGACGCAUUUCGGUGUGUAAACUCCUUUUAAGAGGGAAGAUAAUGACGGUACCUCUUGAAUAAGCACCGGCUAACUCCGUGCCAGCAGCCGCGGUAAUACGGAGGGUGCAAGCGUUACUCGGAAUCACUGGGCGUAAAGGGUGCGUAGGCUGGCUUUUAAGUCAGGUGUGAAAUCCAAUGGCUCAACCAUUGAACUGCACUUGAAACUGAGAGCCUAGAGUUCAGAAGGGGCAGAUGGAAUUAGUGGUGUAGGGGUAAAAUCCGUAGAUAUCACUAGGAAUAUCAAAAGCGAAGGCGAUCUGCUGGGAUGAUACUGACGCUGAGGCACGAAAGCGUGGGGAGCAAACAGGAUUAGAUACCCGGGUAGUCC